UACGGGGGGUGCGAGCGUUGUUCGGAAUCAUUGGGCGUAAAGAGCGCGCAGGCGGCUUGGUGAGUCAGAUGUGAAAGCCCUGGGCUUAACCCAGGAAGUGCAUUUGAUACUGCCUCGCUAGAGUACGGGAGAGGAAAGUGGAAUUCCUGGUGUAGAGGUGAAAUUCGUAGAUAUCAGGAGGAACACCGGUGGCGAAGGCGACUUUCUGGCCCGAUACUGACGCUCAGGCGCGAAAGCGUGGGGAGCAAACAGGAUUAGAUACCCUGGUAGUCCACGCCGUAAACGAUGUUCACUAGGUGUUGGGGGUAUUGACCCUCUCAGUGCCGUAGCUAACGCAUUAAGUGAACCGCCUGGGAAGUACGGUCGCAAGACUAAA
rnacentral:rRNA from 1 species